rnacentral:lncRNA from 1 species
AGCUACACACCUGAUGAGUAGAGUUAUUCAAGGAUUGAGGAAGGACAUUUUGGGUGACCCAAGAGAUCAGCUUAGACACCAGGACAACAGCGUGGUUUGGGGUAGAAAGCCAUAGGACCUCAGCUUGAGGCCAGGAUUAAUUCAUGUUUCCAUUAACUGAGAGUCACCCAGCUCUAUUAGCAUAUCUGAUAUUAUGUUCAGGGCCAUGAAGAAAUUUGGAGAAUAGUUGAACUAUGUCUUUAAGAUCAUUACAGAAGAAAUGGAAAUGCAGACAAUUUGAGACCAGGGGAAAAUAUGAAAUGACAGAAACAAAGGCACAUGAGAAAGCUCUCUGUUGCCUACUAUGGACAACUGAAGAAGGCUCACUCUUGUGUCACUCAAAGCAAUGUUCAUUUUCCAAUGUAACAACUACAGUGGCUGAAUGAAGUGGCUUUUCCCUUAACUGUUAAUCUGUGAUAACUGAGCCUUAUGAAGUCUAAGAUCUAAUAGUUUAGAAAUGUCCACUGCAACACAUGACCAAAUACUCCUACUGCCAUGAUGAGAAUGAACAACAUCAGACCUCUCUGCUCCAAAGGGCUUGAGAAAGCUGUAGUAUGAGGGGGAUAUUCAUAUUGUUCCUGGUUCAGCAAUCACCUUGAUUCCAGCUGUUAUAUGUCGGCACC